GUACCUUGCUCCUCCAAGAUUCCGUUGGGCAUCUUCUUGUCGCUGGUGCUGACCACAGCUUUCCUCUGCUUCCUGAACCUUAGUGAUACCCACCAGGUGAGCCGGGAAAAGCUACUCCUGUUGCUCAUGGCUGAGGCUCAUUUCCUCCUCUGAGCUGGUUGGGGCAAGUCAGUGCCCCGGGACACUCCUACCUGAAGAAGUAGGCGGCGAGAAGGAGCACGAGGAGGA
rnacentral:lncRNA from 10 species